GACGAGCCACACGAACGUUAUUCGGAAUUACUGGGCUUAAAGGGUGCGUAGGCUGCGCGGAAAGUUGGGUGUGAAAUCCCUCGGCUCAACCGAGGAACUGCGCCCAAAACUACCGUGCUCGAGGAAGAUAGAGGUAAGCGGAACUUACGGUGGAGCGGUGAAAUGCGUUGAUAUCGUAAGGAACACCUGUGGCGAAAGCGGCUUACUGGGUCUUUUCUGACGCUGAUGCACGAAAGCUAGGGGAGCAAACAGG
rnacentral:rRNA from 1 species